rnacentral:rRNA from 1 species
GUGUCAGCCGCCGCGGUAAUACAGAGGUCCCGAGCGUUGUUCGGAUUCACUGGGCGUAAAGGGUGCGUAGGUGGUUGGUUAAGUUUGAGGUGAAAGCUCCGAGCUCAACUCGGAAAAUGCCUUGAAGACUAUCUGACUAGAGGAUUGGAGGGGAGAUUGGAAUUCUCGGUGUAGCAGUGAAAUGCGUAGAUAUCGAGAGGAACACCAGUGGCGAAGGCGAAUUUCUGGACAAUUCCUGACACUGAGGCACGAAAGCCAAGGGAGCAAACGGGAUUAGAUACCCCUGUAGUCC